rnacentral:rRNA from 1 species
UGGGAACGUGCCCAAAGGUACGGAACAACUCCGGGAAACUGGAGCUAAUACCGUAUGUGCCCGAAAGGGGAAAGAUUCAUCGCCUUUGGAUCGGCCCGCGUCCUGAUUUAGCUAGUUGGCGGGGUAAUGGCCCACCAAGGCGACGAUCAGUAGCUGGUCUGAGAGGAUGACCAGCCACACUGGGACUGAGACACGGCCCAGACUCCUACGGGAGGCAG